rnacentral:rRNA from 1 species
AAAGUCGAGUUGGCUUAGGGAUACGUUCGUUGGGUAGGGGAGCGUUCUGUAAGCCAGUGAAGGUGUGUCGUGAGGCAUGCUGGAGGUAUCAGAAGUGCGAAUGCUGACAUAAGUAACGAUAAAGCGGGUGAAAAGCCCGCUCGCCGGAAGACCAAGGGUUCCUGUCCAACGUUAAUCGGGGCAGGGUGAGUCGACCCCUAAGGCGAGGCCGAAAGGCGUAGUCGAUGGGAAACGGGUUAAUAUUCCCGUACUUGGUGUUACUGCGAAGGGGGGACGGAGAAGGCUAUGUUGGCCGGGCGACGGUUGUCCCGGUUUAAGCGUGUAGGUGUGUGUUCCAGGUAAAUCCGGUUCACUUUAACACUGAGGCGUGAUGACGAGGCACUACGGUGCUGAAGCAACAAAUGCCCUGCUUCCAGGAAAAGCCUCUAAGCAUCAGGUAACAUCAAAUCGUACCCCAAACCGACACAGGUGGUCAGGUAGAGAAUACCAAGGCGCUUGAGAGAACUCGGGUGAAGGAACUAGGCAAAAUGGUGCCGUAACUUCGGGAGAAGGCACGCUGACACGUAGGUGAAGUGAUUUACUCAUGGAGCUGAAGUCAGUCGAAGAUACCAGCUGGCUGCAACUGUUUAUUAAAAACACAGCACUGUGCAAACACGAAAGUGGACGUAUACGGUGUGACGCCUGCCCGGUGCCGGAAGGUUAAUUGAUGGGGUCAGCGCAAGCGAAGCUCCUGAUCGAAGCCCCGGUAAACGGCGGCCGUAACUAUAACGGUCCUAAGGUAGCGAAAUUCCUUGUCGGGUAAGUUCCGACCUGCACGAAUGGCGUAAUGAUGGCCAGGCUGUCUCCACCCGAGACUCAGUGAAAUUGAACUCGCUGUGAAGAUGCAGUGUACCCGCGGCAAGACGGAAAGACCCCGUGAACCUUUACUAUAGCUUGACACUGAACAUUGAGCCUUGAUGUGUAGGAUAGGUGGGAGGCUUUGAAGUGUGGACGCCAGUCUGCAUGGAGCCGACCUUGAAAUACCACCCUUUAAUGUUUGAUGUUCUAACGUGGACCCGUGAUCCGGGUUGCGGACAGUGUCUGGUGGGUAGUUUGACUGGGGCGGUCUCCUCCUAAAGAGUAACGGAGGAGCACGAAGGUUGGCUAAUCCUGGUCGGACAUCAGGAGGUUAGUGCAAUGGCAUAAGCCAGCUUGACUGCGAGCGUGACGGCGCGAGCAGGUGCGAAAGCAGGUCAUAGUGAUCCGGUGGUUCUGAAUGGAAGGGCCAUCGCUCAACGGAUAAAAGGUACUCCGGGGAUAACAGGCUGAUACCGCCCAAGAGUUCAUAUCGACGGCGGUGUUUGGCACCUCGAUGUCGGCUCAUCACAUCCUGGGGCUGAAGUAGGUCCCAAGGGUAUGGCUGUUCGCCAUUUAAAGUGGUACGCGAGCUGGGUUUAGAACGUCGUGAGACAGUUCGGUCCCUAUCUGCCGUGGGCGCUGGAGAACUGAGGGGGGCUGCUCCUAGUACGAGAGGACCGGAGUGGACGCAUCACUGGUGUUCGGGUUGUCAUGCCAAUGGCACUGCCCGGUAGCUAAAUGCGGAAGAGAUAAGUGCUGAAAGCAUCUAAGCACGAAACUUGCCCCGA